GACGAACGCUGGCGGCGUGCUUAACACAUGCAAGUCGAGCGGAAAGGCCCUUCGGGGUACUCGAGCGGCGAACGGGUGAGUAACACGUGAGUAACCUGCCCUAGGCUUUGGGAUAACCCUCGGAAACGGGGGCUAAUACCGGAUAUGACUUGACCUCGCAUGGGGUUGGGUGGAAAGUUUUUCGGCUUGGGAUGGGCUCGCGGCCUAUCAGCUUGUUGGUGGGGUGAUGGUCUACCAAGGAGGCGCCGGGUAGCCGGCCUGAGAGGGCGACCGGCCACACUGGGACUGAGACACGGCCCAGACUCCUACGGGAGGCAGCAGUGGGGAAUAUUGCACAAUGGGCGGAAGCCUGAUGCAGCGACGCCGCGUGAGGGAUGACGGCCUUCGGGUUGUAAACCUCUUUCAGCAGGGACGAAGCGUGAGUGACGGUACCUGCAGAAGAAGCACCGGCCAACUACGUGCCAGCCGCCGCUGUAACAC
rnacentral:rRNA from 1 species